GAUAGGUUAAGUUAAUAAGGGCGCAUGGUGGAUGCCUUGGCACUAGAAGGCGAUGAAGGACGUGACUAACUACGAUAUGCCUCGGUUAGCUGUAAGUAAGCUUACCCGGGGGUUUCCGAAUGGGGCAACCCGAUCUUAAUGAUCAUCAUCUUUUUGAAUUCAUAGAUUAGAUGAAGCAAACGCUGUGAACUGAAACAUCUAAGUAGCAGUAGGAAAGUAAAGAAAUUUCGAUUCCGUCAGUAGCGGCGAGCGAACGCGGAAGAGCCCAAACCUGGAUGCUUGCAUCCAGGGGUUGUAGGACUGAUGUUGAGUUACAAAGGUAUAAGAUAGCAGAAACAGUUGGGAAGCUGUUCCAAAGAGGGUGACAGGCCCGUAUGCGAAAUCUUGUACUCUCUAAUCAGGAUCCUGAGUACGGCCCAGCACGUGAAAUUGGGUCGGAAUCUGGGAGGACCAUCUCCCAAGGCUAAAUACUAACUAGUGACCGAUAGCGAACAAGUACCGUGAGGGAAAGGUGAAAAGAACCCCGGAAGGGGAGUGAAAUAGUUCUUGAAACCGUGUGCUUACAAGAAGUUCGAGGCCGUUAAUGGCUGAGAGCGUGCUUUUUGUAGAAUGAACCGGAGAGUUA
rnacentral:rRNA from 1 species